AACGUAGGAGACAAACGUUAUCCGGAGUUACUGGGCGUAAAGGGCGUGUAGGCGGUCUGUUAAGUCUGGCGUGAAAGCUCUCGGCUAAACCGGGAGAGGUCGUUGGAUACUGGCAGACUAGAGGACGGUAGAGGCGUGUGGAAUUCCGGGUGUAGUGGUGAAAUGCGUAGAGAUCCGGAGGAACACCAGUGGCGAAGGCGACACGCUGGGCCGUACCUGACGCUAAAGCGCGACAGCAUGGGGAGCAAACGGGG
rnacentral:rRNA from 1 species